GAGCAACGCCGCGUGAGUGAAGAAGGGUUUCGGCUCGUAAAGCUCUGUUGGUAGUGAAGAAAGAUAGAGGUAGUAACUGGCCUUUAUUUGACGGUAAUUACUUAGAAAGUCACGGCUAACUACGUGCCAGCAGCCGCGGUAAUACGUAGGUGGCAAGCGUUGUCCGGAUUUAUUGGGCGUAAAGCGAGUGCAGGCGGUUCAAUAAGUCUGAUGUGAAAGCCUUCGGCUCAACCGGAGAAUUGCAUCAGAAACUGUUGAACUUGAGUGCAGAAGAGGAGAGUGGAACUCCAUGUGUAGCGGUGGAAUGCGUAGAUAUAUGGAAGAACACCAGUGGCGAAGGCGGCUCUCUGGUCUGCAACUGACGCUGAGGCUCGAAAGCAUGGGUAGCGAACAGGAUUAGAUACCCUGGUAGUCCAUGCCGUAAACGAUGAGUGCUAAGUGUUGGGAGGUUUCCGCCUCUCAGUGCUGCAGCUAACGCAUUAAGCACUCCGCCUGGGGAGUACGACCGCAAGGUUGAAACUCAAAGGAAUUGACGGGGGCCCGCACAAGCGGUGGAGCAUGUGGUUUAAUUCGAAGCAAGCGAAGAACCUUACCAGGUCUUGACAUUCAGUGCAAACCUAAGAGAUUAGGUGUUCC
rnacentral:rRNA from 1 species